rnacentral:rRNA from 1 species
GACGUAGGGUGCAAGCGUUGUCCGGAUUUAUUGGGCGUAAAGAGCUCGUAGGCGGCUUGUUGCGUCGACUGUGAAAACCCGCGGCUUAACCGCGGGCUUGCAGUUGAUACGGGCAGGCUAGAGUUCGGUAGGGGAGACUGGAAUUCCUGGUGUAGCGGUGAAAUGCGCAGAUAUCAGGAGGAACACCGGUGGCGAAGGCGGGUCUCUGGGCCGAUACUGACGCUGAGGUGCGAAAGCGUGGGGAGCAAACAGG